CAAUUUUCACUCUCUCUGUGUGCAGAACAGCAACAUUAAACACUAUUUCACAUCCUCUCUUCUCUUCUAUACCAUUUAAAUCACUUUGAAUGCUCACAAACAAGACUUUGGUUCAGAGUGUGAACCGGACAAGAGACUUCGUCUAGAGUGGAAAAUCAUUCUCACGUAGCGUAAGUUGAAUGUGUUGGAAGCUUGCUAAGGCUGUUAGCAAUUGGGGAUAGUUAAGGUAUCCUGGUGUCGUGAAGACUUGCAAUAUGUGAAUGCCUUUGGCUAGGAGUUCAAGAUCAACUUAGGGUUAUGUUUCAGAGUGUUGUCCAGGUCUGUUAUUGGGAAGUUUGUUGUUGAAGCUCACUGCUUAAAUGUGUUAGUGGUAUUGACCUUCACUUGUUGUCAAAUAAUUUGUAAGAAAAUAUAUUCAAGUGGUCUAAUAUUUUAUAA